UGAUAUAUAUGUGUGUGU
rnacentral:miRNA from 1 species